GAUGAACGCUGGCGGCGUGCCUAAUACAUGCAAGUCGAGCGAACGGACGAGAAGCUUGCUUCUCUGAUGUUAGCGGCGGACGGGUGAGUAACACGUGGAUAACCUACCUAUAAGACUGGGAUAACUUCGGGAAACCGGAGCUAAUACCGGAUAAUAUUUUGAACCGCAUGGUUCAAAAGUGAAAGACGGUCUUGAUGUCACUUAUAGAUGGAUCCGCGCUGCAGUAGCUAGUUGGUAAGGUAACGGCUUACCAAGGCAACGAUGCAUAGCCGACCUGAGAGGAUGACCACCCACACUGUAUCUCAGACCCGGUCCAGACUCCUGCGGAAGGCCGCAGUGUGCAAUCUUGCACAAUGGGCGCAAGCCUGACGACGCACCACCGCGUGAGCGACGAAGGUCUUCGGGUCGUAAAACUCUGUUAUUGAGGACGAACAUCUGUCUAAGUAACUGUACACAUCUUGACGGUACCUAAUCAGAAAGCCACGGCUAACUACGUG
rnacentral:rRNA from 1 species